UACGGUCACAUCUUGUUGAAAUACCAGUUCCCAUACAAUCAUUAAAGUUAAGCAACAUUGAACCUGGUCAGUACAUAGAUGGGUGACCACUUAAAAAGACCAGGUGCUGUAAG